GACAGAGGAUGCAAGCGUUAUCCGGAAUGAUUGGGCGUAAAGCGUCUGUAGGUGGCUUUUAAGUCCGCCGUCAAAUCCCAGGGCUCAACCCUGGACAGGCGGUGGAAACUACCAAGCUGGAGUACGGUAGGGGCAGAGGGAAUUUCCGGUGGAGCGGUGAAAUGCGGUAGAGAUCGGAAAGAACACCAACGGCGGAAAGCACUCUGCUGGCCGACACUGACACUGAGAGCACGAAGCUAGGGGAGCGAAUGGG
rnacentral:rRNA from 1 species